rnacentral:lncRNA from 1 species
UAGAAUGUCGUGUCCUAACGUAUUGGGUGUGGUAUUUUCUUUCUCUGAAGUGAUAAGGGUCUUAAUACGUAACGUUUUUAAGUUUUUGCUAAAGAUUAUGUUUUUUCAAAUUUUCGACAUUAAGACAUUAAUUAAUUAACUAGGUACCAAUUUUUGGGCGUAAUGAGGGUGCUAAUCCUUCCUCAUACGUAACUGACUCCCGG